GACGAACGCUGGCGGCGUGCCUAAUACAUGCAAGUCGAGCGGAGAUGUUGGAGCUUGCUCCAACAUCUUAGCGGCGGACGGGUGAGUAACGCGUGGGCAACCUGCCCUGCAGAUCGGGAUAACUCCGGGAAACCGGUGCUAAUACCGAAUAGUUUGCGGCCUCUCAUGAGGCCACACGGAAAGACGGUUUCGGCUGUCACUGCAGGAUGGGCCCGCGGCGCAUUAGCUAGUUGGUGAGGUAACGGCUCACCAAGGCCACGAUGCGUAGCCGACCUGAGAGGGUGAUCGGCCACACUGGGACUGAGACACGGCCCAG
rnacentral:rRNA from 1 species